AUGUCCUUCAGUUUGUUCCCUAUACACCAUUACUGGCUGCCUCCAUGGCAACAGCCAAUGAGCUCUUGCACAUACAUCACUGCCCCCUCUGUUCAUGCUCCUCUGUGUGUGCCCUUGUGCACUCAGUGGCAUCAUAAAGCAUCUGAGAGCCAUGCAGGUCCAGUCAGUUGGUUUUGUGCUCCGUGCGACCUCCUCUUCCUUCCAUACCCUCAGGAUAGCACCAAUCAGAAUUAUCUUAAAAACUGCACCUGUAAGUCCAUUGUGUUUGUUCGGAGACAGCAAGAAAGCUUGAAGCUGAAGAGAUGAGUCCUCUUUGCUAAAGUACUGGUAUGAGUGCAUCCAAAGUUGUUAUUAAGAAAUACUUGGGAAUCCAGCUUGUUUGGAAAAUUUCUGAUGCUUUUAAAAAGCAACUUCAUAUUCCUGACCCAUAGCUCUAUUUCAGGAACUCCUCACAUGCCUCCCAAUUUUCCUCUUUAAUUGUAUUUAACUCCUACUGCAGUAUCAAAUUAUCAGCCAGGGAACAUUUGCAGUCAUUCUUUGCUUUCCUCUGUUUGCCAAGUGUCGUUUUAUGUAAUUGUAUAAUAUCAGCUUCUCUGGCCCACUCUGUCUUACCUGCAGGUGUGCGGUUCUAUCUCACUUAUGUAGGAUAUUCAACUUUCAGGUACGAUGAGUGAUUUUUCUAGUGUUAAAAGUUAUUCUUUUCUCGUUGAAAUACAAAUAGAUAUUUUCUCAUUGCAGUUUGUAAUCAUGUAUCCUCAUGUAUUUCUGUUUGUUUCCUUUAACUGUGGUUGAACCAAAAGUUAUGCAAGACCAGAAAUCUUUUAAAGUUUAUACCCUUGCUAUAGUUAUGCAAACAAGUAAAAAGUCAUUCUAGCACUAAAAUCCACAUGGUUAGUAGAGAAUGAAGUUUCUGUUCCUUUUCUUUCCUCUAGAGUUCACUGAUAAUUUAAUCUUAUUGACUCAUCAGUAAAUUAUAACUUUUGUGCAUUAUUAUUAUAAAGUCAUUAUUAUUUUUGAAAAACCUCUAUAUUUUUCCAUUUAUAAGCUGAACUGUCCUCCAAGGAUCAAGAAAGUGAAGGCAGUUCUUUUCUGCAGCCUGAUCUCCUACCUUCCAAUGACAACCUCAAAUAAACCAGGCUACUAGGGAUCCUAACA
rnacentral:lncRNA from 1 species